rnacentral:lncRNA from 1 species
AUCAAAUUUUGGCGCCGUUGCCGGGGAUUAGCAUUGUCAGUUUCCCUCCGACAAUCCAAUGACCAGGAACCUUUUGGACAUAAUGGUUAUGUGAAGAAGGUCUCUGUAGUCUAACAUCAUUAGAUUACUUCUUCAAUCAAUCCAUUGUCCAUGGAUUCAUUAUUUAGGACAUAUAUCGUUAAUUGAGAUAGUCCUAAUUAGUAUCUUUGCCAUUUGAUGUAUAAGAGUCAUCUAUACAUCGAUUCAUUUGUCCUGAAAGGUUUCUUCCAAAGAUUGACUUUCAGGGCAUAUUUCCAACAAUCUCCCACUUGCACUAAAGUCAAUCACUAGUGUAUCUUAUACAUGCUUGUUGAGAGAGCUUAUGCUCGUAGGUUAACUUGGUUAUGUAUUAAUCCUUUUUAUUUAAAAGGGAUUUACUUAUCAAAUGUUUCCAAAACAUUUUAUGAUGUCUCUUUCUUGUGUUCGAAUACUUCGAUGAGACCUUGAUUCCAUGGCUUGAGCUAUUGCCCCAUUAAGUCGUAGUAUCCUACUAACGACCUUAUGGUUUGGAUUCAAUCAUUGGUUCUAUAAGAACCCCUUCAUUCAAAACACCUUUUGAAGUAGUUUCUAAAACAAUAUAUCGUCAUAUAUUUCGUUUGUAUACUUUAUACAAACUUUGCUCCAACCUUGAGACCAUUGUAGUACAAUACUAACAAUACAUUCAUAUGAUUAGUACUUCAUCCAUUAUGAAGUUCCAUUUGUUAAAAUGGCUUAUUUUUCACUUUGGUUAAUAACCUAAGUGAAUGCAUGCUUCCAGAGUCCCACUCUGAUGUUUCUUUCUUAAAGGCAAUAAUACUCUGUCAGUUGCUUUGGUUCUGAUCCUGGGAUAUAGAGUAAUAUCUUUAAAGUGACAAACUCUGUGGUUCUUCACCUUUGGAUAUCUACUUCACAAGUCCAUACAUGUGUCCCUUUUGUGAUUUUGUGACACAUUCAUUAUAAGGGUUAUGAAAAUGUUUUUCUAUCACAUAGGAAAAUGCUUUCUUAAAUCUACAACAUUUGAGAUUUAAUUCCCAUAUAACAUUAUUGAGAUACCCUUGCUAUAUCAACAGGUCCAAUUUCAAGUCUAUACUUCAAAAUUGACCAUGUCAUGUUUUGUCAU